rnacentral:rRNA from 1 species
UAGGGAAUCUUCCACAAUGGGCGCAAGCCUGAUGAAGCAACACCGCGUGAGUGAAGAAGGGUUUCGGCUCGUAAAGCUCUGUUGUUAAAGAAGAACACGUAUGAGAGUAACUGUUCAUACGUUGACGGUAUUUAACCAGAAAGUCACGGCUAACUACGUGC